UACGAAGGGGGGCUAGCGUUGUUCGGAAUUACUGGGCGUAAAGCGCGCGCAGGCGGUCUUCCAAGUCAGUGGUGAAAGCCCGGAGCUCAACUCCGGAACUGCCAUUGAAACUGUUGGACUUGAGUACGAGAGAGGUGAGUGGAAUUCCCAGUGUAGAGGUGAAAUCGUAGAUAUUGGGAAGAACACCGGUGGCGAAGGCGGCUCACUGGCUCGUAACUGACGCUCAGGCGCGACAGCGUGGGGAUCAAACAGG
rnacentral:rRNA from 1 species